CAGCAGCCGCCGCGGUAAUACGGAGGGUGCAAGCGUUAAUCGGAAUUACUGGGCGUAAAGCGCACGCAGGCGGUCUGUCAAGUCAGAUGUGAAAUCCCCGGGCUUAACCUGGGAACUGCAUUUGAAACUGGCAGGCUAGAGUCUUGUAGAGGGGGGUAGAAUUCCAGGUGUAGCGGUGAAAUGCGUAGAGAUCUGGAGGAAUACCGGUGGCGAAGGCGGCCCCCUGGACAAAGACUGACGCUCAGGUGCGAAAGCGUGGGGAGCAAACAGGAUUAGAUACCCCUGUAGUCCCUGUCUCUUAUAC
rnacentral:rRNA from 1 species